rnacentral:rRNA from 1 species
AUUGAACGCUGGCGGCAGGCCCAACACAUGCAAGUCGAGCGGAUGAGAGGAGCUUGCUCCUUGAUUCAGCGGCGGACGGGUGAGUAAUGCCUAGGAAUCUGCCUGGUAGUGGGGGAUAACGUUCCGAAAGGAACGCUAAUACCGCAUACGUCCUACGGGAGAAAGCGGGGGACCUUCGGGCCUUGCGCUAUCAGAUGAGCCUAGGUCGGAUUAGCUAGUUGGUGAGGUAAUGGCUCACCAAGGCGACGAUCCGUAACUGGUCUGAGAGGAUGAUCAGUCACACUGGAACGGAGACACGGUCCAGACUCCUACGGGAGGCAGCAGUGGGGAAUAUUGGACAAUGGGCGAAAGCCUGAUCCAGCCAUGCCGCGUGUGUGAAGAAGGUCUUCGGAUUGUAAAGCACUUUAAGUUGGGAGGAAGGGCAGUAAGUUAAUACCUUGCUGUUUUGACGUUACCAACAGAAUAAGCACCGGCUAACUUCGUGCCAGCCGCCGCGGUAAAAC